UACAGAGGUCCCGAGCGUUGUUCGGAUUUACUGGGCGUAAAGGGUGCGUAGGCGGUCGGAUAAGUCUGAUGUGAAAUCUCAGAGCUCAACUCUGAAACUGCAUUGGAUACUAUUCGGCUUGAGGUCUGGAGGGGGGACUGGAAUUCUCGGUGUAGCAGUGAAAUGCGUAGAUAUCGAGAGGAACACCAGUGGCGAAGGCGGCUCACUGGCCCGGUACUGACGCUGAGGUGCGAAAGCGUGGGGAGCGAACAGG
rnacentral:rRNA from 1 species